AGCCCGCUCGCCGGAAGACCAAGGGUUCCUGUCCAACGUUAAUCGGGGCAGGGUGAGUCGACCCCUAAGGCGAGGCCGAAAGGCGUAGUCGAUGGGAAACAGGUUAAUAUUCCUGUACUUGGUGUUACUGCGAAGGGGGGACGGAGAAGGCUAUGUUGGCCGGGCGACGGUUGUCCCGGUUUAAGCGUGUAGGCUGGUUUUCCAGGCAAAUCCGGAAAACCAAGGCUGAGGCGUGAUGACGAGGCACUACGGUGCUGAAGCGACAAAUGCCCUGCUUCCAGGAAAAGCCUCUAAGCAUCAGGUAACAUCAAAUCGUACCCCAAACCGACACAGGUGGUCAGGUAGAGAAUACCAAGGCGCUUGAGAGAACUCGGGUGAAGGAACUAGGCAAAAUGGUGCCGUAACUUCGGGAGAAGGCACGCUGAUAUGUAGGUGAAGCGACUUGCUCGUGGAGCUGAAAUCAGUCGAAGAUACCAGCUGGCUGCAACUGUUUAUUAAAAACACAGCACUGUGCAAACACGAAAGUGGACGUAUACGGUGUGACGCCUGCCCGGUGCCGGAAGGUUAAUUGAUGGGGUUAGCGGUAACGCGAAGCUCUUGAUCGAAGCCCCGGUAAACGGCGGCCGUAACUAUAACGGUCCUAAGGUAGCGAAAUUCCUUGUCGGGUAAGUUCCGACCUGCACGAAUGGCGUAAUGAUGGCCAGGCUGUCUCCACCCGAGACUCAGUGAAAUUGAACUCGCUGUGAAGAUGCAGUGUACCCGCGGCAAGACGGAAAGACCCCGUGAACCUUUACUAUAGCUUGACACUGAACAUUGAGCCUUGAUGUGUAGGAUAGGUGGGAGGCUUUGAAGUGUGGACGCCAGUCUGCAUGGAGCCGACCUUGAAAUACCACCCUUUAAUGUUUGAUGUUCUAACGUUGGCCCGUAAUCCGGGUUGCGGACAGUGUCUGGUGGGUAGUUUGACUGGGGCGGUCUCCUCCUAAAGAGUAACGGAGGAGCACGAAGGUUGGCUAAUCCUGGUCGGACAUCAGGAGGUUAGUGCAAUGGCAUAAGCCAGCUUGACUGCGAGCGUGACGGCGCGAGCAGGUGCGAAAGCAGGUCAUAGUGAUCCGGUGGUUCUGAAUGGAAGGGCCAUCGCUCAACGGAUAAAAGGUACUCCGGGGAUAACAGGCUGAUACCGCCCAAGAGUUCAUAUCGACGGCGGUGUUUGGCACCUCGAUGUCGGCUCAUCACAUCCUGGGGCUGAAGUAGGUCCCAAGGGUAUGGCUGUUCGCCAUUUAAAGUGGUACGCGAGCUGGGUUUAGAACGUCGUGAGACAGUUCGGUCCCUAUCUGCCGUGGGCGCUGGAGAACUGAGGGGGGCUGCUCCUAGUACGAGAGGACCGGAGUGGACGCAUCACUGGUGUUCGGGUUGUCAUGCCAAUGGCACUGCCCGGUAGCUAAAUGCGGAAGAGAUAAGUGCUGAAAGCAUCUAAGCACGAAACUUGCCCCGAGAUGAGUUCU
rnacentral:rRNA from 1 species